GAUCCUCAUGUGCUGGUCGAGAGUAGUUGUGGAUUGGAGGAUUCAAUGGCGGAAAUUAAUCUCAGUGAAGACAGGAUCCAACACUUUGGCAGGGAUUAGGGAAGUAGUUCUAAUUUCUAAAACAAGUAGUAUAUCUUUCUUUUAUUCAGUUGCGGAUCAUAGAGAGCUGGUCUUUCUUGUUGUGGUGUUAAUUUUAAUACUAAUACCUAAGUAUGUUCUAUGCUGCAUUUAAUUGUCUGGAAAUACAGAUAUGAAAUAGAAUAAAUUGGUUUUUCCAAUUGCUGUUGAGCCU
rnacentral:misc_RNA from 1 species